rnacentral:rRNA from 1 species
CCUACGGGAGGCAGCAGUGGGGAAUAUUGGACAAUGGGGGCAACCCUGAUCCAGCCAUGCCGCGUGUGUGAAGAAGGCUUUCGGGUUGUAAAGCACUUUCAGUGAGGAGGAAGGCUUAAAGGUUAAUACCCUUUAGGAUUGACGUUACUCACAGAAGAAGCACCGGCUAACUCCGUGCCAGCAGCCGCGGUAAUACGGAGGGUGCAAGCGUUAAUCGGAAUUACUGGGCGUAAAGCGCGCGUAGGUGGUUUGGUAAGCGAGAUGUGAAAGCCCCGGGCUUAACCUGGGAACGGCAUUUCGAACUGUCAGGCUAGAGUGUGGUAGAGGGUAGUGGAAUUUCCUGUGUAGCGGUGAAAUGCGUAGAUAUAGGAAGGAACACCAGUGGCGAAGGCGGCUACCUGGACCAACACUGACACUGAGGUGCGAAAGCGUGGGGAGCA